GGCCUGGUAGCUCAGUUGGUUAGAGCGCUGCCCUGUCACGGCAGAGGUCGUGGGUUCGAGCCCCAUCCGGGUCGCCA
rnacentral:tRNA from 1 species